rnacentral:lncRNA from 1 species
UUAAGUUCACCUACCAUAACAUGAAGUACUUAGCUUCAUAAUUGAUGAUGGUAUUAUGUAGUGUUUCACUAACUUAAAUAAUGAAAGUGUUUUGGUAUCAUCAAAUUUAUGUAUUCACUUAUAACUUAAUUUAUGAAUAUGUACUAUAUUACGUACUGGUGCAGGUUUUUACUUCCAAGUAUUCCUAAACAUGUCUCAAUCCAAAUUAUACCUAAUUAACAGCUAAGUAUGAUGUAUUAUGGGAUAAUGUAGGAGGAAAUAUCGAAAAGUCUGUUUCCAGCAUAUGAAGUUUGACCCAUCUGUUAAUGCUUUUAGAAAAUCUGCUUGUGGAUAUUUUAACAGUUGUUAUUGCCACAUGAC